rnacentral:rRNA from 1 species
UCAAGCUAAUAAGAGCGCAAGGGGAAUGCCUUGGCAUCAGGAGCCGACGAAGGACGUGACAAGCUGCGAUAAGCUACGGUGAGGAGCAAAUAUCCUGUGACCCGUAGAUUUCCGAAUGGGGCAACCCGGCUGGACAAUAUCCAGUCAUCCUGCAUUGAAUCAAAUAGGUGUAGGAAGGGAACCGCCUGAACUGAAACAUCUAAGUAGGGCGAGGAAAAGACAUCAACCGAGAUUCCGCAAGUAGUGGCGAGCGAACGCGGAAGAGGCCAAACCGGAGGAUUUAUUCUCCGGGGUUGCGGACAGCUAUACGGAACAAUAGUUUAGCCGAACGGUCUGGGAAGGCCGGUCACAGAGGGUGAGAACCCCGUAGGCGAAAGACGAAUUGUUUCAGGCUGGAUCCAGAGUACCGCAGGACACGUGAAACCCUGUGGGAAACAGGGGGGACCACCCUCCAAGCCUAAAUACUACCUGAUGACCGAUAGAGGAGCAGUACCGUGAGGGAAAGGUGAAAAGGACCCCGGGAGGGGAGUGAAAGAGAACCUGAAACCUUGUGCUUACAAGCAGUCAAAGCACGUUAAAGUGUGAUGGCGUACUUUUUGUAGAACGGUCCGGCGAGUUAUAGUAACGAGCAAGCUUAAGGUAUUCAGUACCGGAGGCGAAGCGAAAGCGAGUCUGAAUAGGGCGCAUGAAGUUCGUUGCCAUAGACCCGAAACCGGGUGACCUACGCAUGAGCAGGUUGAAGUGGGGGUGAAACCCCAUGGAGGACCGAACCAACCCCCGUUGCAAUGGUGGUGGAUGACUUGUGCGUAGCGGUGAAAUUCCAAUCGAACUCGGAGAUAGCUGGUUCUCCCCGAAAUAGCUUUAGGGCUAGCGUUAGUUUAGAUUACCGGAGGUAAAGCACUGAAUGGUUUAGGGGCUGAUAAAGUUACCGACGCCUAUCAAACUCUGAAUGCCGGAUAAUUGAUGACUAGCAGUCAGACAGUGUGAGAUAAGUUUCAUUGUCAAAAGGGAAACAGCCCAGACCUACAGCUAAGGUCCCAAAUGUAUGCUAAGUGGAAAACGAUGUGGAAUUGCGAAAACAACCAGGAUGUUGGCUUAGAAGCAGCCACACAUUAAAAGAGUGCGUAAUAGCUCACUGGUCGAGUGACUCUGCGCGGAAAAUGUAACGGGGCUAAGCAUGCAACCGAAGCUUAGGAUUGUCUAAAGACAGUGGUAGGGGAGCGUUCUGUAUGGGGUGAAGUCGCAGCGAGAGCAGCGGUGGACUGUACAGAAGUGAGAAUGCCGGAAUGAGUAGCGAGAAUUAUGUGGGAAUCAUAAUGGCCGAAAAUCUAAGGUUUCUUGGGGAAGGUUCGUCCGCCCAAGGUAAGUCGGGAGCUAAGCUCAGGCCGAGAGGCGUAGGCGAUGCACAUACGGUAGAAAUUCCGUAACCACCGAAACUUAAACAGAGGGACACUUCGAAAUAGCGGAACCCGGGCGUUGGUUGACCCGGGCGUAAGGGAGCGAAAUUAGAGUAGCGAAGUCCGCGAUGUUCGGAGGCGAGAAAAGCUCUGAGGUAUGCUAAGGUGCCCGUACCGCAAACCGACACAGGUAGAUGAGGAGAGAAUCCUAAGGCCAACGGGAGAAGGGUUGUUAAGGAACUCGGCAAAUUGACCCCGUAACUUCGGAAGAAGGGGAGCCCCCUACGGGGGGUCGCAGAGAAAUGGCCCAAGCAACUGUUUACCAAAAACACAGGUCUAUGCUAAAUCGAAAGAUGACGUAUAUGGGCUGACGCCUGCCCGGUGCCGGAAGGUUAAGAGGAGAUGUCAGGCAACGAAGCAUCGAAUUGAAGCCCCGGUAAACGGCGGCCGUAACUAUAACGGUCCUAAGGUAGCGAAAUUCCUUGUCAGGUAAGUUCUGACCCGCACGAAUGG